GCAGUGAAUUGGUGGCGGCAGGUGUAAGUAAUUGCUGAGAUUUGGGUUUGGGGAGUGGGCUCACGAGUGUUUAUGACAUUAUUAUAAAUGAAUAUAUGAGUGCAUAAAUUAGCAAAAUAAAAGGGGGCUUUUCUGGACCAAUGAUGAGACAGUGUUUAUGAACAAAAGAUCAUGAUUAAUCCAGUUCUGCACAAAACACUGAGGUCCAUUAGAAGACAAUAGGUCUUGGCUGUUUCAUUCCUUUUAAGAGCUGUUUAAUAUUCCACGGAGCCCUGGGCUCCCCCAGUGUUGCCUGGGUCUGACUUUGCCUCAGUGAAAACUGCCUCGAAUUCUUUCUUGCACCGAUGGGCAGAUGGGCAGUGUCGGAGGAUCGUGUCAUCUGUCCCGUGGCGCUGGUUGGCUUGGUCAAGUCAGUGUUCAAACUAUCUCCUGCUCUUUCAAGGGGAUCUGGGGCUCUAGAAGAUUAGAGGACUUGGAGAGGUUAGUGACUUGCUCGAGGUCGGCUAGGAAGCAAGACCCAGGAUUCCAACUCAGGUCUGUGUGAUUCCUCUGCAAAAUGGAGAGGUGGAAGGAUGGAUGUCAGGUCUGAUGGAUGGAUGGAUGCCUACAUCAAGAUACAUGCAUAGAUGGAGAGAUGGCUGGCUACCUCAUGAAUGCUGGACUGUUGUGAGAAUCAAACGAGAUAAUGUAUGCUGAGGCAUGCUGUGAACACUACGUGCUGGGUACAGGAGAAUGGAGGCUCCAGAGUGAAAUUAAUGACACUUUGUCGAUGAAGAUCUUGAUUGUGACCUCUGUGGAAAAUGAGCCAUGAACCAACCAAUAAUGAAAACCAUGUAGCUGGUCUUAUUAUUCUCUAAUCAUGAAGACCAUUAUUGUUAUUUGUGGACUAAGGAGCAGAAAGACUGAUAGUGGACAUAGGCCAGCUGAUUUAAUAAUUUAAGAAAGAACUGUUAUCCUGAGUAAGGAGCAUAGAGACAAAUAUAAAAUGAACGCACUCUACCUGAUUUAAUUAUAGUCUUCUGGUGAAGAUCUUGCUGUUAUCUCUGUGAAUCAGGAGAGAAGAGAUUGAUAAGGAAUAGACGAGAUUGGAUUUGGUCAUUUCCCCAAGGUGAAGAGCAUGGCGAUUUCUUCUGUGGUAAGGAGCAAUAAUGAAGACCAUGGUUGAUUUAAUCAGUCUCUGCUGAUGAAGAUCUUGGCUGUUACCUUUGUGUGUAAGGAAGCUAAAGACUUAAGUAAAUAACAGUCCAAAAACUUGUCAAUUAGGAAUGAAUGCGCAAUGAUUCAAUUAUUCUCCAGCGAGGAAGAUCAUGGUUGUUGUCUGUUUGAGUAAUGAGUGUAGAAACCUAUAAUGGAGGCGUGAUGGCUGAUGCAAUCAUUUUCCACUGAUGAAGGUUUUGAUGGCCACCUGUAAUGAACAGCCCCAUCUGAUUUAAUCACUGUGCAAUGACCGUGAACUGUACAGUUACCUCCGUGUGUCACAGGAAGACUCUUUUGACUUAAGCACCCUUCCAUGGUCAUGAGGUUUCUGGUUGCCUCUGUGUGUUAGAAGCUUGGAGACCAAUGCCUUCUGCUGUGAUCGCGUUCUCCACAGUUGCCUCUGGGUAGGAGCCUGGACACUAAUAGAAAAUGGAUGCACUGGAGCUGAUUUAAACAUUCUUUGGUGGUCACAAGAUGUAUAGCUGCCUCUGUAUGUUUGGCGCAUGGAAAAAAAUAUGAGUUUUUGUGGACAUACACUCUUUAUUUGAAAAGUAUGAAAUAUAAUCCAAGAAAGCCAGCCAUGGCUCAGUGAUAAAUAUGGAAUUGAUAUGAAACAUUAUAUUGAUUAAUCACCUUUGAGGAUGAUUAAUAAAAGAGAGAAAGUGAUUCUAUAUAGAGAUGCAGGACUAUUUCAGGCUCAUUCAUGAUCUAGGUUUUUGUGCUUCAUGGUUAUUUUAUUAUCAUCAAUAAAAAGAAAAAAGAAAAAAAUCUUAUACUGUCCAAAAAAUUAGGGAGACCAGCGCCCAGUGUUCAUGUGAGGGGGGACUAGUGUCCAUUUCCACCAAGCAGCCUGGAAAUGCUCAUCCUCACAGGGCAUUGGAGAGGUUUCUCAAGAAGCGAGUGCCUCCAUGGGGGAAAUAAUUAACCCCAGAUUAAAUGCUGCUUCAGACCUAAUGGAUGGUAAAAACAAGAUCCAAAAGGAUCAAACUCUUUCCAGGUAGAUUAACUGUAUCCCAGAACAAAGCUCAAGGACAUUUUUAGAAAUACGUAUAUAUCCAGCACACAAGCAGGGUAAAAUUCACAUCUGCAAAUUUACCAGGCAUUCAAAGGGGCAAAAAAUACACAACCCACAAUUAAGAGACUAAUGAAUUAAUCAAAACCAACCCAGAACUUAUACAGAUGUGAGCAUUAGCAGAAAAGGACUUGAAGUAGUUAUUAGAACUGUCUCCCUGGCCGGGUGUGGUGGCUCAUGCCUGUAAUCCCAGCACUUUGGGAGGCCGAGGUGGGUGGAUCACCUCAGGUCAGGAGUUCAAGACCAGUCUGGCCAAAAUGGUGAAACCCCACCUCUACUAAACAUGGACCAAUGAUGACCACUGGUGGCGUUUGAGUCAUGGACGAUGAAUACUACGUGUCUGAAACUCUGAGGUCCAACAGAAAACAUAAUUGGAUAGAUAUCAGAAAUGUGCAAAGAUCAUAUUCUUACUUUGGAUUAAUAGAUUGAGGUUCAUCAUCAAUAGAUAAAUGAUAGAACAAUUAAACAAGAAUAAAUAAAGGUGAAUCAUUGUUCAAUUAUGAAUAUACAUGAUGAUGUAAGAAAUAUUAUCACUAAAAAUUUUAAACACAGAUGCCCCUUAAAGAAAUGGAUCAUGAGUCCCGCCACUGCACUCCAGCCUGGGCGACAGA
rnacentral:lncRNA from 1 species